CCUCGCCCUUCGUUUUGACUGAAAAAAAAAAAAAAUCCGUACCCCCACCCCCUCCCGCGUCCCGCGUUCGAUUCCGCCGGUGGAUCUGGGGGCGGCCGUCCUUGGGGCCGCGAGCCCCGCCGGUCUCGGGCGCCGCCGCCGUGCCCUUGGCCGAGAGGGGGAAGGGGAGGAGGAGGUCGCCGAGCGCUGCACGGGUGGUCCGCUGGCGGAUCUGGGGGUGGCCGCGCCGCUCGCCCGCUCGCCUGCGCCGGCCACCGCUGUAGCCCCGCUCGCCCGAGCAUGCCGCCGCCGCUCGCCCUCGCCCGAGCUGCGGCGUGCCGGCGCCCCUGCUGCCACCUCCUGAGCUGCGGCACGCUCGCCGCCGGCACCAAGAUGCAGCGCGCUCGACACCGGCCCGAGCUGCGGCACGCUCGCCGCCGGCACCAAGAUGCGGCGCGCUCGACACCGGCCCGAGCUGCGGCUCCCGCGCUCGCCCUCCGCGCCCUCCGCGGCCGGCGUGCGGCGCUUCCGGCGUGCUGCGUGCGGCGCGCCCUCCGCGGCCGGCGGGGGCCUGCGGCGUGCGGCGCGCCCGGCGUGCUGCGUGGGCAUGCGGCGUGCCGCGCGGCCUCCGCUGCCGCCGUGCCACGCGACCUCGGUCCACGCCUUCGGUCACCGGCCACCGUCGGCGUCGCGGACGCCAUUUCGUAGAUGCGAUAGUUUAUUGUCAACGGAGUGGGUAAGGAGCCAAACUUUCACUUCUGCCAACUGCUAGAGAAGUCAAGCAUGGAUUGGAUGAUGGCGUCUGUUUAAUGCAGUCGUGGGGAUUUCAUGCUGCAGGCAGUCAAGCAUUCAACUGACCGAGAGGUAGCACUGAUGGCUCUCAUGGCUUAUUUAUCAUAUAUAGGCUGGUAGCGGUCCCAGGUGGACUUGAUAAACAUAUGGUCCAUUGUGGAGGGAUCUUGAUUUGCAGUCCCAAAGUGUUCCGGCAUCUAUAGUAUUAUUAAGAAUACUGCAUUUGGGCCUCCAAGUAUAGUCUGCAAUUUUAAAAUGAAACAUAAACUUAAAAUUAUUUUGUACCAUUUGCUUUCAUGAUUUAGAGCUGAGAGAAUGGCAAGCCGAGAAAAUAUUUGUGGCUUGUUAUGGUUGACAUGCAAUUCCAAAGUUGUAAAUACAGUUAGGGACUGUAUUUUUUCUUGGUUAUAUUUCUUACCAUUACUUCUUACCUUGGAGAGUUGGAAUUGAAUUACAAGUAUAGCCACUGAGAUACAUAGGUCAGUAGUAUCAAACUUGAAUGUCUGUAUACUUCUCUAAAUGCACACAGAUAGCCAGCAUUUACAAAGAUUAUCCAAAGACAAGAAAUUAAUAAUGCCUUCUACUGAAUAUGCUAACUGGAGUAGGUUAGUUUGGUAAUUUUUACUUACUUCAUGCAUGAUCUAUGCAAGAAAAAUAUUGUCCUGUACCUAGGCUUAUCAAUUUACAUCAGCAUAGCUUAUGAUAUGGUUAUAAGAUGAUCUAGGUUUAGUGUUCUUCAUAUCUAUAAAAUAUUUAUAGGGAGAGCUUACAUAGCUAUAUGUUUACAUAACAUAUUUACUUAUAUUCUUUGCAGUGCGCAUGCCUACAUUGUCUUCAAAGAUGAGCAUGCCCCCUCGUAAAAAGCUUCAAGGAGAAGGGCCUCUUUAUGACAGAAAGAGGACUGUUUGCUUUGAAAUUUAACCAUAGCGUUCAAGUGCUGCAUUCACUCCUGCCUUCAAUUCUCAAUAGGCCGGGUUGCACUAAUGGAGGAAGGAAAUGCCCAUGAAAGUAAUGUUGAAGACCCUUUGGUCGAUGCUGCCGAAAAGGUGGACCACGACCGCAAGGAAUGUAUUGAGGACAACAUUCCUGGAGAAAUCUAAAGUCCAAUGUUCAAGUGCACAUGUACGUGAUCUCCAUUCUGCCCUUAUAUAGAUCUGAUAGCUGAGAUUAUUAAAUGCUGGUCUGACGAAUGAAAAAAAAUCUUAUCAUGAAGUUAUUUGUUUGUUGUAGUGGGGUACUUUCUUAUUUGUGCUGGUGAAAAAUUGUUCAUUGGAGUAGCAUGGGAUGGUCAUCAAGGAGAAAUAUGUCAUGGCGUUAUCUAAUAUUCUCUUAUGGAUAUCAUAUCAAAAGUUGGAAUGAUAUGUUUGUUUUGAAAGUUAGGCUCUUGACCAUCACAGCCCUGUAUGCAUUCUUUCUGAGUAUAAUUAUGUGAUGUUGAGUAUAA